ensembl:lncRNA
GCUCACGCGGCGGCAGACGGCGUGGGUGGGGCUCCUGCCAACGGCCGCUCUGUGGGAGCGGGGGGGAGCAAGGCGCCGGCUGCGGGGAGGCCUCGGCUGCGUGCCGCUUCGCCGACCGCCCACCGGAGAGGCGGCACGCCAGGAGGAACGGCACUGCUCCGCGCCGGUUGGCGGCGGCCCGCUUAUGUGGAGGUCGGGGCUGUGCCGGGCAGGUGUGUAUGGAGGACAGCGUAAUGGCUGCUACAGUAAAAGAGUGUCUUGAGCUCCAGCUCCUGGAAGUGGAAAUGCUCUUGUCAAUGUUUCCUAAAAAAGGCGAAAUAAAUCUGUGUGAUGAGGAUGCUGUGCUUGGCAUGCAGCGCUGAGAAACUCUGAGGGAGCUCUGCCCCGGCGGCUCGAGUAUUCAGUUGCUAUUGAUGUAGGGAAGUCAAAGGUGAGAACUUCCACUUAGAUGUGUUCAUGUGUGUUGUCUUCUUUACUGCUAGUGCAGACACUUAAAAAGCAAGAUUUUUCCCCAACUCUGCUCUAGAAAAGGAAGGAAAAAAAAGUAUUUUCUGUUUGCCAUUUCAAAAGUUAAGAGUAAAAACAUCUGCUGGGUUUUAAUUAUUUAUCUGAGCCUUAACUUUCUUUGGGCAAGAAAGGCUAAUAGAAUUGCAGAUAAGAAUAGACAGUGAUGUCAGCUGACACACACAUUUCUUAAGAGCUUAGCUAGGGCUGUGUCCAUAUGAGUUGUUAGUUUACUGGUUUACAAAGAGUUGUGUAUUGUAAAGGCAAAGCUUUCCUUGUGUAAAUACAUACAUUGCACUUUAUACAGUUCUAGUAAAAUCACCCUAAUAUUUCUCUCAUCUGCCCUUUGCCAUGAAUACUUACUUUCAUUGAUGUGUAUUUGAAAAGAUGACUAAUGUAAAAAUAGUCAAAAAUGGUGGAAUACUAUUAAGAAGAGUAACACGAACAUUAAAACCAGCCUAGGAACUGGGAAACAACAUUUACAGUAUAAGAGUUCCAUUAGCUUACCUUAGUUGUCAUGCUUAACCUUUUUUUCAAUAAGUGAUGAAAAUACUUGCACAGAAAAUAGCCAUUAGUGCAGGCCUGAGUAUAAAAUAGUACAAUGAUCGGAAGUUGAAAGUAGACUCAACCUAAAAGUAUAUGCAGUUUCCUAGAAAUAGCAAUAAUUAAAUAUUGGAACAAAUUAUGGGGUAAAGAGGUAGACAUCAUUAUUUGGAAACUUAACUACAAGAUUAGGUAUAUAUCUAAAAUGUACCCAACCUUUUAAGAGAAGUUCAGUGAACUGUGUACGGAGGGCUUGUGUUGUAAGAUUUUUUUUUUUUUUUUUCCCCAUGACAGAUUUUCAAAAAACUUGGGAAG